rnacentral:lncRNA from 1 species
CUUCACGAUACAAGCUGCACUGACAGUGAAUUAUGGAAAAUAUGGCCUUAUUCUCUGUUUUAAUUAUUUUAGCUUGUAUGCAUGUCGGCAGUGUAAGGAGUGCUAUUGGUUCUACAGAGGUAAACUGUGUAAGUGGAAGUAGUAUCACUCUAGGGAAUAUCGAGGAGGGAUAUGAAGGAGAUAUAGAGAUUAUCACUAAUAUCAGACCGGAUGUUCGUCUGGUUCUGGAGCCACAUCUCGGUACCGUUGCUAUGAAAUAUGUGGAGCUGGUUUACUCUGAUGGAGACUCAACCGCUACUGUACGGACCAUCAAACCACUGGAUGCUGAGGAAAUAAAGAUGGUUUGUUCCACCC